GAUUUCAUUUUUGUUAAUAAAGUUAGGAAAGCUGGAAGUGGCUGGCUGUGGAUCUCUGAACCUGAGAUAGCCCAAAGGCAAGAGUUUCCCGAGUUUAUGGGUGCUGAGUAUAGGAGCUGGGUUGUUGCUACUUCAGGUUGUUAAGACAGUCGUUAUAAGGGGAGCAAGAGUCAGAUUAGUUCAAUUUCUUUCUCCUGGGGCAGGGAGGAGAGGGAGCAGCAAGCCAGCCUCGUGGCCUUCUCGUCUCUAGCCUACAAGGAAUAGGCUGAUUUCCCCUUGGCAAGGCGCCUGAAGCAGCUGGCAGGCAAGCCCUCCUCUUCCUACUUCAGUACGCCCUCUGACCUGACUGCACUCAGAAACCAAAAUUCUGCAGGUGAAUGUAGGCUCCCAUUUCGUCCCACAAUCAUUUCAUCAUUCAGGCACAGCUUGACCUCUAAUGUGACAUCACAAACCCUUCCGGUCCACAGUUUUUUUUUCUUCUUCAGAAACUACCUAAACAAGGAAGUUUGUGUUCCAAGGUAAGAUAACCUGAAAUGAAAAACUCAGGAUCCCUCACGAACAGCCUGACCCUGCUUUCAACCAGGAAGUUCAAGGGAGGCAGGACUUUACGGUCAAAACUGCAAAGCCGAAGCUCAAGACUGUAAGAAGAAAGUGAUCUUCAAAGAAAAGGAUUCACCCAAAUCGAAGAGGAUAUCGUUUCGCAUCAGGGACACUCGUCUCCACACCUCCUACCUCAAAGUCCUACGCACCUACCCUUCACGUCUCUCCAAAGCAACUGAAUUAAAGCGCCUACUGGCCUUGGCGGCGCAGGUCCCAAGAUUUUGACUGAUUGGUUGUACGACUAGAGUUGCUGGAGUUCAAGUAUUUUCAUUUUAACUAUUCAACUGAAAGCAGUGCGUUACAACAGAACACGGGUUCCAAAGAAUUUACUGAGAAGAAGCAAAGUAAUACUUGGGAGAACUAUAAUACACAGGCAUCUCAUGAAAAUCAUCCAACAUAUAGAAGAAUAUAUAGAAUAAAGCAAAAAUCAUCAGAAACUCCACCGUCUUGGAUGACCAUAGUUGAUAUUCUGAAUGGCUUCUGUUCCGAUUGAACCUUGACUGAUGUAGCACCUAUCACCAAAUUGCUGUUCAGGAAAUAUGUCCUAAAGAAACUCCCAACAGCAGCAAUACAUCAGAGUGGCACCUCUUUACACUGGUUCUUGAGAAGAUGUCAGAGUGAGAUUUGCAAUAGACUCCCAGCAGCCCCCAGGAGCACCAAGUGAGAUGCCUGCCAGGCCCACUGUGUCCACUGCCCUCUGGUAGCACCUGAGGAUCAUGGAAAUUAAAUCCUGGUAGAUAAAGGGGAAGACGUAAGGAAGACAAGACAAGGGACUGAGGAAAUGUUGGGGAAGAUGAGAACACCUCAGAAACCACAAUUGAAGAAUUCCUAGGACCCCCAGGAAAGGGGCACAUCCAGAAAGGAGAUAAGAUCAGAAGCCUUUAUUUCCACUAUUCAGCCACUCACUGCCUGAGACUUAACUUCAUUUCAAGUAAGGGGAUAAUAUUUGGCCCCUAAGUAUCUUACAAGGGUUUUGUUUUCCCUAAGAGAAAAAAAAUUAGGUAAGAUCAUAAGUAAGAAAGGAUUUUUUGAAUUAAAAAUAUAUGCAAAUGCAAGUUAUAACAAUUUUUGUUCUGGAUAUUUUUGCAGUAGAUAGAAAAGUUCUUUGUGCUGUGGCCACCUGCCUAAUGCUGUUGACUGGCUGGUAAUAGAUGCCUGGGAGUCAUUUUGAGGUUACUUAGAGCCUCUUUCCACCACCAGAUGGAAGGAAAUUGGGCAACUUCUUGAGUAAUUGGCUCUUCUGACUCACGUUUCUUGCAUUGUGACCUGGGUGCUACCCAGGAUGAGCAAGGAAUUUCCUCUCUGGAGUUGUUUAAGGAAUAGCCCAAACGUUCAGCUUCAUCUUUUUUUAAUGCCGCCUCUAACACUACCUGAGCAGCCACAGAAAAGUAUUUGCUGCUGCAGUAUUUUGGAUCAGCUGAAAUAUAUUUUGAGUAUGUACUCUGGGAAAGGCACAGAAUACCAUUUCUUUACUGAGAUUCUCUUCAAGGAUUUCCAUCCCUCCUUAAAGACCUAGUUGGGAUGGAGCAAUGUAUUUAGAACAUGAUGUGAGUACCAACAAGGAGUCGGGAGACACCUUUUAGCUGUACUUCUUUAUCUUUCUCUCCUUGCUUCCUCUGUCUCUGGUUUCCCCUUUUGCAUCUCUUGUUUUUCCUUUCUUUUCUUGUAUUACUUUCUCUUGAUCAAUAGAGCUGCCAUAGCCUUCCCAGACAUAAAUAAUCAGCUUCCUUGGAAGUACUCAGAAUGUGAACAGCUGUAGCCACUUAGACCUGGUCUUAGAUUCUCACCCCUUGUUGUGUAUUGUAAUUAUCUAGGGAACUUAAAAGGUACUGAGGCAUGGGCCCCAAUGGAAUCAUUAUCCCUGGGGGGUGGGGUGGGCCCUAGACCUGGUAUUUUCAAAAACUUUCAAAAAUUAUUCUAACACAUACGCAGAUUAAACUGGUUGCAG
ensembl:lncRNA SAMD12-AS1 SAMD12 antisense RNA 1